rnacentral:rRNA from 1 species
CCUACGGGAGGCAGCAGUCGAGAAUCAUUCACAAUGGGGGAAACCCUGAUGGUGCGACGCCGCGUGGGGGAAUGAAGGUCUUCGGAUUGUAAACCCCUGUCAUGUGGGAGCAAAUUAAAAAGAUAGUACCACAAGAGGAAGAGACGGCUAACUCUGUGCCAGCAGCCGCGGUAAUACAGAGGUCUCAAGCGUUGUUCGGAAUCACUGGGCGUAAAGCGUGCGUAGGCUGUUUCGUAAGUCGUGUGUGAAAGGCGCGGGCUCAACCCGCGGACGGCACAUGAUACUGCGAGACUAGAGUAAUGGAGGGGGAACCGGAAUGCUGGGGGUAGCAGUGAAAGGCGUAGA